rnacentral:rRNA from 1 species
AGUGAACGCUGGCGGCAGGCCUAACACAUGCAAGUCGAGCGGCAGCGCGGGGGCAACCCUGGCGGCGAGCGGCGGACGGGUGAGGAAUUCGUCGGAAUCUGCCUUCCUGUGGGGGAUAACGUAGGGAAACUUACGCUAAUACCGCAUACGUCCUACGGGAGAAAGUGGGGGACCGCAAGGCCUCACGCAGAAAGAUGAGCCGACGACCGAUUAGCUAGUUGGUGGGGUAAAGGCCCACCAAGGCGACGAUCGGUAGCUGGUCUGAGAGGAGGGUCAGCCACACUGGAACUGAGACAGGGCCAAGAGUACUGAGGGAGGCAGCAGUGGGGAAUAUUGGACAGUGGGCGCAAGCAUGAUCCAGCCAUGCGGCGUGUGUGAAGAAGGCCUUCGGGUUGUAAAGCACUUUUGUCCGGAAAGAAAUCCCUGGAGCUAAUACCUUCGGGGGAUGACGGUACCGGAAGAAUAAGCACCGGCUAACUUCGUG